GGGGGAGGGAAGGAGAUGAAGGGAUGGAGUGAUGUUGGGAAGGAUGGAGAGAGAGAGAGAGGAAUGGAGGGAGAGUGGAGACAGAGAGAAGGAAGGAAAGAGUAGGUUGGAGAGGUGCAGGGGGCAGUGGAGGAGAGAGAUCAGAAAUGGUUAGAGACCACUCGCUUCAGGAAGGGUCCCAAACAGCUCGUUUCCUGCUACCAUGGUGAUGCUUUCACCUGGAACACACACACACACACACACACUCUCUCUCUCUCACACACACUCACAGACACACACACAC